rnacentral:rRNA from 1 species
AGAGUUUGAUCCUGGCUCAGAACGAACGCUGGCGGCCAGGCUUAACACAUGCCAAGUCGAGCGCACCUUUCGGGGUGAGCGGCGGACGGGUUAGUAACGCGUGGGAACAUACCCUUUGGUACGGAAUAGCCUCUGGAAACGGAGAGUAAUACCGUAUGAGCCCUUCGGGGGAAAGAUUUAUCGCCAAAGGAUUAGCCCGCGUUAGAUUAGGUAGUUGGUGGGGUAAUGGCCUACCAAGCCUACGAUCUAUAGCUGGUUUUAGAGGAUGAUCAGCAACACUGGGACUGAGACACGGCCCAGACUCCUACGGGAGGCAGCAGUGGGGAAUCUUGGACAAUGGGCGCAAGCCUGAUCCAGCCAUGCCGCGUGAGUGAUGAAGGCCUUAGGGUCGUAAAGCUCUUUCGCCUGUGAAGAUAAUGACGGUAGCAGGUAAAGAAACCCCGGCUAACUCCGUGCCAGCAGCCGCGGUAAUACGGAGGGGGUUAGCGUUGUUCGGAAUUACUGGGCGUAAAGCGCACGUAGGCGGACUGGAAAGUAUGGGGUGAAAUCCCAGGGCUCAACCCUGGAACUGCCUCAUAAACUAUCAGUCUAGAGUUCGAGAGAGGUGAGUGGAAUUCCGAGUGUAGAGGUGAAAUUCGUAGAUAUUCGGAGGAACACCAGUGGCGAAGGCGGCUCACUGGCUCGAUACUGACGCUGAGGUGCGAAAGUGUGGGGAGCAAACAGGAUUAGAUACCCUGGUAGUCCACACCGUAAACGAUGAAUGCCAGUCGUCGGGUAGCAUGCUAUUCGGUGACACACCUAACGGAUUAAGCAUUCCGCCUGGGGAGUACGGUCGCAAGAUUAAAACUCAAAGGAAUUGACGGGGGCCC